UUGGGAAAAUAAAAGAAAUCAGCUGCGAUUUUCUCUCAUCAAAAUCCCUGAAAAAUCUCACCUUCUUCCUUGCUCUGCGUCCAUAUGACCAGUUCUACUUUCCUCUAUCCUUGAUUUUCUAAGUUUUGUUUCCAUAUCUUGAGUUAACUAUAUAUUAAUUAAUUAGUUGUUUGGGAACACUGACACGUCCAUGAUUUUUUUCCCUCCAGAUAUUCUCGCAUGUGGAAUUGAGUUCGUAUUUAUGAAAUCAUCUGACAUAUCUCCAUGACGAGUGAAUCUGUCUGAAACAGGGUUGAUUAUUCAUCUUAGCAAAACACAACUCGAUAUGGGUACAAUAUCGACUCUAAUGAUGGCGCAAAUAGAGGAAGUCUACUUGGAGUUAAACUUUUCAUUGAAGUAAGGAAAGGGUAACAUCCUGAACAAAACACCACUAUCAAGAUCGUGGACACCAUUUUACACGACCUGGACUCGGGUAAGUCAGAUGUUUUCUUCGCAGUUGUCAAUGU